rnacentral:rRNA from 1 species
GAUGAACGCUGGCGGCGUGCUUAAUACAUGCAAGUCGAACGAAGCACUUUUGACAGAUCCCCUCGGGGUGAAGAUGAUUGUGACUUAGUGGCGGACGGGUGAGUAACGCGUGGGGAACCUGCCUCGUGCUGGGGGAUAACAGUUAGAAAUGACUGCUAAUACCGCAUAAGCGCACAGUAAGGCAUCUUACAGUGUGAAAAGAUUUAUCGGCAUGAGAUGGACCCGCGUCUGAUUAGGUAGUUGGCGGGGUAACGGCCCACCAAGCCCGCGAUCAGUAGCCGACUUGAGAGAGUGCUCGGCCACAUGGGGACUGAGACACGGCCCAGACUCCUACGGGAGGCAGCAGUAGGGAAUAUUGCACAAUGGGGGAAACCCUGAUGCAGCGACGCCGCGUGAGUGAUGAAGUAUUUCGGUACGUAAAACUCUAUCAGCAGGGAAGAUAAUGACGGUACCUGACUAAGAAGCCCCGGCUAACUACGUGCCAGCAGCCGCCGUAAAAC